rnacentral:rRNA from 1 species
AACGAACGCUGGCGGCAGGCUUAACACAUGCAAGUCGAACGCCCCGCAAGGGGAGUGGCAGACGGGUGAGUAACGCGUGGGAAUCUACCUAGUUCUACGGAACAACACAGGGAAACUUGUGCUAAUACCGUAUACGCCCUACGGGGGAAAGAUUUAUCGGAAUUAGAUGAGCCCGCGUAAGAUUAGCUAGUUGGUGGGGUAAUGGCCUACCAAGGCGACGAUCUUUAGCUGGUCUGAGAGGAUGAUCAGCCACACUGGGACUGAGACACGGCCCAGACUCAUACGGGAGGCAGCAGUGGGGAAUAUUGGACAAUGGGCGAAAGCCUGAUCCAGCCAUGCCGCGUGAGUGAUGAAGGCCUUAGGGUUGUAAAGCUCUUUUACCCGGGAUGAUAAUGACAGUACCGGGAGAAUAAGCCCCGGCUAACUCCGUGCCAGCCGCCGCCGUAA